rnacentral:rRNA from 1 species
CCAUGGCAUUGCCUCAGUAGCGGCGAGUGAAGCGGCAAGAGCUCAGAUUUGAAAUCUCACCUAGUGUGCGAGUUGUAAAUUGCAGGUUGGAGUCUCGGGUUAGACGUGUGUGCAAGUCCCUUGGAACAGGGUGCCACUGAGGGUGAGAGCCCCGUAUCGUGCAUGUCGACACCUGUGAGGCCCUUCUGACGAGUCGAGUUGUUUGGGAAUGCAGCUCUAAGUGGGUGGUAAAUUCCAUCUAAGGCUAAAUAUUGGCGAGAGACCGAUAGCGAACAAGUACUGUGAAGGAAAGAUGAAAAGCACUUUGAAAAGAGAGUGAAACAGCACGUGAAAUUGUUGAAAGGGAAGGGUAUUGGGCUCGACAUGGGAUUUACGCAUCGUUGCCUCUCGUGGGCGGCGCUCUGGGUUUUUCCUGGGCCAGCAUCGGUUUUCGUUGCAGGAUAAGGACAAUUGGAAUGUGGCUCCUCGGAGUGUUAUAGCCUUUUGUAGAUGCUGCGUAUGGGGACCGAGGGCUGCGGCGGACUCGUUUCGUCUCGGAUGCUGGCACAACGGCGCAAUACCGCCCGUCUUAAUCCGGGACCACAAU